GAUGAACGCUAGCGGCAGGCCUAACACAUGCAAGUCGAGGGGCAGCACAGGUAGCAAUACUGGGUGGCGACCGGCGGAUGGGUGCGUAACGCGUAUGCAACCUACCAUUGAUUGGGGCAUAGCCCGAAGAAAUUCGGAUUAAUACUCCAUAAUAUUCAUCAAAGGCAUCUUUUAUGAAUUAAAGCUUUUGCGAUCAAUGAUGGGCAUGCGUGACAUUAGUUAGUUGGUGAGGUAACGGCUCACCAAAACGAUGAUGUCUAGGGGUUCUGAGAGGAUUAUCCCCCACACUGGUACUGAGACACGGACCAGACUCCUACGGGAGGCAGCAGUGAGGAAUAUUGGUCAAUGGACGCAAGUCUGAACCAGCCAUGCCGCGUGCAGGAUGACGGCCCUAUGGGUCGUAAACUGCUUUUCCACGGGAAGAACCCUCCGACGUGUCGGAGACUGACGGUACCGUGGGAAUAAGCAUCGGCUAACUCCGUG
rnacentral:rRNA from 1 species